AUUGAACGCUGGCGGAAUGCUUUACACAUGCAAGUCGAACGGCAGCACGGACUUCGGUCUGGUGGCGAGUGGCGAACGGGUGAGUAAUGUAUCGGAACGUGCCCAGUCGUGGGGGAUAACGUAGUGAAAAUUACGCUAAUACCGCAUACGAUCUAUGGAUGAAAGCGGGGGAUCGCAAGACCUCGCGCGAUUGGAGCGGCCGAUAUCAGAUUAGGUAGUUGGUGGGGUAAAGGCCCACCAAGCCAACGAUCCGUAGCUGGUCUGAGAGGACGACCAGCCACACUGGGACUGAGACACGGUCCAGACUCCUACGGGAGGCAGCAGUGGGGAAUUUUGGACAAUGGGCGAAAGCCUGAUCCAGCCAUUCCGCGUGCAGGAUGAAGGCCCUCGGGUUGUAAACUGCUUUUGUACAGAACGAAAAGGUUUCUACUAAUACUAGGAGCUCAUGACGGUACCGUAAGAAUAAGCACCGGCUAACUACGUGCCAGCAGCCGCAGUAA
rnacentral:rRNA from 1 species